rnacentral:rRNA from 1 species
GAUGAACGCUGGCGGCGUGCUUAACACAUGCAAGUCGAGCGAGUGAGUUCUUCGGAACGAUCUAGCGGCGGACGGGUGAGUAACACGUGGGCAACCUGCCUCAUAGAGGGGAAUAGCCUCCCGAAAGGGAGAUUAAUACCGCAUAAAAUUAUCGAGUGGCAUCACAUGAUAAUCAAAGGAGUAAUCCGCUAUGAGAUGGGCCCGCGGCGCAUUGGCUAGUUGGUGAGGUAACGGCUCACCAAGGCGACGAUGCGUAGCCGACCUGAGAGGGUGAUCGGCCACAUUGGGACUGAGACACAGCCCAGACUCCUACGGGAGGCAGCAGUGGGGAAUAUUGCACAAUGGGGGAAACCCUGAUGCAGCAACGCCGCGUGAGUGAUGAAGGCCUUCGGAUUGUAAAGCUCUGUCUUUGGGGACGAUAAUGACGGUACCCAAGGAGGAAGCCACGGCUAACUACGUGCCAGCCGCCGCGGUAA